AAGAAGUGGGUGAGAUGUAACGGAAAGAACAAACCUGGGGAGACAGGACACACUCCGAGCAGCUACCUGAUCCUGAACGCGGCAGUUACCGGUGACCUCUUGACCUUUGCUCACCCCCCUCUUUCUGUGGAAGCUCCCACUCAACCUUCACUGCCCAGACUCAUUGUUAUAUCACGAGGCUACAAGUUCCAGCUAUCAGAGACUACACUGCUUUUAUCUAUCACCAUCUCCUGAGAACCUGAACACUGUCUGGCACAGAACAGAAUCACCACCGAAAGCAAGAUGGGGCAUUGGUAACUUUACAGGAAUAGUAAAAGUUUACUGCAGAGAUUACACCAGGGUUGGCAUUCCUGCACAAAUCCUCACAGCCUGAUGGGAAAAUAGAGUCUCACUGUGUAUUGCCAGAGUCCUUUCUGUAGAGUACAUGGUGUUCAUUAAGUCGAACUGAGUGAUCUUUGAAUGAAUUCUCCAAGUUACCUACCCAAUGGGAGAAGCAUGCCAGCACUUUGUACAUAAAGUGAACAUUUAUAAAACCUUCAACAACAACAACAAUGACUUCA